rnacentral:lncRNA from 1 species
AGUGCGCUAGGUUUAUGGCAAGACCUAGGCUUACUUCUGGUUUUAGGGGGUGCGAUGAAUAAUUCGGCUUACGUAUCCCGUUAUAGUUUCAAUCUGAUUCCAUACCGAUUUAAAGUCUGCGAUAGGUUCUCGGCUUAUAAGACUUGUAUGGUUGGAACCGAGCAUCUCUCCAAGGACAAUUUCUAAGUCUCCUGGAAGUGCUGACCAAAAU